GCACUUUAUGAAGCACACCUAAUCCAGGAUAACUUAAUCAGAAGAUCUUUUCAUUUCACUUAGUUAAUAGAUGCUACAUGUGCAACUACUCGAUAUCUUCUAGACUUCUACUACACUGCUCAGUAACAACAGAUUUAUGGAACAUGUUUUCAUCUUUCAUCUUUCAUUUCCCCCCAAAAAAACCCAUUUCUCUCAGUUUUUCCCAAAAAUCCUACAAUAAUUUAACAAGAUUGCUCGAAUUGCGCAGAUCCAUUUUCUUCAGACCUUGUCGAGAUUGCUCGAAUUCUUAGAUUUUCGAGAUUACAGAAGCCUAAAUAUCUACUGAUUUCUACUCAAAACCAAAUUUCUGCUGAUUUCCCCAAAUUUCUGUGAACUCUAAUUUUGAUUUCCCCAAAUUUCUACUGAUUUUGAUUUCUUCUUUGAAAUUUCUACUGAUUUCAUCUUAAACAAGGACUAUUUUUCAUCAUGUCAAGUAUAAUCUGCCUAUCUCAGGAUCGCUCGAUACCAGUUCUACAAAAUUAAAUGCAAAAGGUGCUAUACUAUAUUUCAAAGUUGGCGCGGGCAAGGGCGGGAAAGCUGGCACUGGUGGUAAAAGUCAAAAACCAAAAGCCCCUGAGCCACUGGAGCUGAGAGGCAUAUGUUCAACAACUGGAGAAUAGCUGGCUGAAUUUAUCAUAGUUGGAACAAUACCUUCAGCGAGCGCGUCAACAGGGAAAGUACAUUUCAAACAUGGGAGAUCAAUCAAACAGAGUGGACGCCAGUGAUUCUAUCGUUUUGCAGGGACCUUAGCAUUUGAUGCAGAAUAUAGUCGAUGGUUAGAAGAACAGAAUAAGCACAUCAAUGAGUUGAGGAACGCUGUCAAUUCUCAUGCAAGUGACCCUGAACUGCUAAGUAGUGUGAAUAAUGUCACUGCAUAUUUCGAUGAGGUCUUUAAGGUGAAAGGAAAUGCAGCCAAGGCGGACUUUUCCAUGUCUAGUCAGGAAUGUGGAAAACCCCUGCCGAGCGGUGUUUUAUGUGGAAUGGUGGCUUCCGCCCCUCGGAAUUUCUUAAGCCAAGUGAUGCGGCUAGUGGGCCCAUUUCGUCCAUGGAUGCAAGGAGAUCACGUGAUGAUAGUGAUCCUAAUGACAGUCGUUGAUUUUGUUGUAAAUUAUCUUAGAUAUUCAAUUAUGAUGAUGUAAUUGUGUGGUUGGAGUGAAUCUUAGAAUAUUGAAGCUUUUGUGUUUAGAUUUGAUUUUGGAGUUUGAAGAUACUAGUUAAUAUUGAAAAUUGGAGUUUGGAGAUGGUAAUGUUGAAAAUUAAAUUUUGAAGUUUAAUGUUCAAUGUGUUUUUGA